AGCUAAUAGAUACCCGGGUAGUCCUAGCAGUAAACGGUGCAUGCUUGGUAUGGGGACAUAGACAUUCUCCGUGCCGUAAGUUAACACGUUAAGCAUGCCGCCUGGGAAGUACGGUCGCAAAGACUAAAACUCAAAGAAAUUGACGGGGACCGCACGAGCGGUGGAGUAUGUGGCUUAACUACGAUGCAACGCGAUGAACCUUACCUGGACUUGACAUGCAUCUAUAAACGGCGGAAAACGUCGUGAUUGUAGCAAAUACAAAAAUUUGCACAGGUGCUGCAUGGCUGUCGUCAGCUCGUGUCGUGAGAU
rnacentral:rRNA from 1 species